rnacentral:rRNA from 1 species
AUUGAACGCUGGCGGCAGGCCUAACACAUGCAAGUCGAACGAAGAUCUAGCUUGCUAGAUCUUAGUGGCGAACGGGUGAGUAAUACAUAAAUAAUCUGCCCAUAUGACUGGGAUAACUAUUGGAAACGAUAGCUAAUACCGGAUAGGUUGAUUGGAGGCAUCUCUGAUUAAUUAAAGUAGGAUUUCUACACAAAUGGAUGAGUUUAUGGCGCAUUAGUUAGUUGGUGGGGUAACGGCCUACCAAGACGAUGAUGCGUAGCCGACCUGAGAGGGUGACCGGCCACACUGGGACUGAGACACGGCCCAGACUCCUACGGGAGGCAGCAGUAGGGAAUUUUCGGCAAUGGGCGCAAGCCUGACCGAGCAACGCCGCGUGAGUGAUUAAGGCCUUCGGGUUGUAAAGCUCUGUUGUAAGGGAAGAACAUUCAGGAUAGGAAAUGAUCUUGAACUGACGGUACCUUACCAGAAAGCCACGGCUAACUACGUGCCAGCAGCCGCAGUAA